rnacentral:rRNA from 1 species
GAUGAACGCUGGCGGCGUGCCUAAUACAUGCAAGUCGAGCGAACAGACGAGGAGCUUGCUCCUCUGACGUUAGCGGCGGACGGGUGAGUAACACGUGGAUAACCUACCUAUAAGACUGGGAUAACUUCGGGAAACCGGAGCUAAUACCGGAUAAUAUAUUGAACCGCAUGGUUCAAUAGUGAAAGACGGUUUUGCUGUCACUUAUAGAUGGAUCCGCGCCGCAUUAGCUAGUUGGUAAGGUAACGGCUUACCAAGGCAACGAUGCGUAGCCGACCUGAGAGGAUGAUCAGCCACACUGGAACUGAGACACGGUCCAGACUCCUACGGGAGGCAGCAGUAGGGAAUCUUGCGCAAUGGGCGAAAGCCUGACGGAGCAACGCCGCGUGAGUGAUGAAGGUCUUCGGAUCGUAAAGCUCUGUUAUUAGGGAAGAAAAAAUGUGUAAGUAAAUAUGCACGUCUUGACGGUACCUAAUCAGAAAGCCACGGCUAACUACGUG